rnacentral:rRNA from 1 species
UCAGGAUGAACGCUAGCGACAGGCUAACACAUAGCAAGUCGAGGGGCAGCAUAAAAGUAGCAAUACUUGGUGGCGACCGGCGCACGGGUGAGUAACGCGUAUGCAACCUACCUAUCAGAGGGGAAUAACCCGGCGAAAGUCGGACUAAUACCGCAUAAAACAGGGACACCGCAUGGUGAUAUUUGUUAAAGAAAUUCGCUGAUAGAUGGGCAUGCGUUCCAUUAGGUAGUUGGUGAGGUAACGGCUCACCAAGCCGACGAUGGAUAGGGGAACUGAGAGGUUGGUCCCCCACACUGGUACUGAGACACGGACCAGACUCCUACGGGAGGCAGCAGUGAGGAAUAUUGGUCGAUGGGCGAGAGCCUGAACCAGCCAAGUCGCGUGAAGGAAGAAGGAUCUAUGGUUCGUAAACUUCUUUUGCAGGGGAAUAAAGUGCAGGACGUGUCCUGUUUUGUAUGUACCCUGAGAAUAAGGAUCGGCUAACUCCGUGCCAGCCGCGGC